rnacentral:rRNA from 1 species
UCCGGGAAAACUCAGGGCUCAACUCUGAGCUUGCAGUGGGUACGGGCACACUAGAGUGCUGUAGGGGAGACUGGAAUUCCUGGUGUAGCGGUGAAAUGCGCAGAUAUCAGGAGGAACACCGGUGGCGAAGGCGGGUCUCUGGGCAGUUACUGACGCUGAGGAGCGAAAGCAUGGGGAGCGAACAGGAUUAGAUACCCUGGUAGUCCAUGCCGUAAACGUUGGGCGCUAGGUGUGGGGUCCAUUCCACGGAUUCCGUGCCGCAGCUAACGCAUUAAGCGCCCCGCCUGGGGAGUACGGCCGCAAGGCUAAAACUCAAAGGAAUUGACGGGGGCCCGCACAAGCGGCGGAGCAUGCGGAUUAAUUCGAUGCAACGCGAAGAACCUUACCAAGGCUUGACAUGCGCGGUGGAAUCCCAGAGAUGGGGUGUCAUUUAGUUGGUCGCGUACAGGUGGUGCAUGGUUGUCGUCAGCUCGUGUCGUGAGAUGUUGGGUUAAGUCCCGCAACGAGCGCAACCCUCGUUCCAUGUUGCCAGCACGUUAUGGUGGGGACUCAUGGGAGACUGCCGGGGUCAACUCGGAGGAAGGUGGGGAUGACGUCAAAUCAUCAUGCCCCUUAUGUCUUGGGCUUCACGCAUGCUACAAUGGCCAGUACAGAGGGCUGCGAUACCGUGAGGUGGAGCGAAUCCCAAAAAGCUGGUCUCAGUUCGGAUCGGGGUCUGCAACUCGACCCCGUGAAGUCGGAGUCGCUAGUAAUCGCAGAUCAGCAACGCUGCGGUGAAUACGUUCCCGGGCCUUGUACACACCGCCCGUCACGUCAUGAAAGUCGGUAACACCCGAAGCCGGUGGCCCAACCCGUAAGGGGGGGAGCUGUCGAAGGUGGGACUGGCGAUGGGACGAAGCGU